rnacentral:rRNA from 1 species
GACGAACGCUGGCGGCGUGCUUAACACAUGCAAGUCGAGCGGUAAGGCCCUUUCGGGGGUACACGAGCGGCGAACGGGUGAGUAACACGUGGGUGACCUGCCCUCAGCUCUGGGAUAAGCCUGGGAAACCGGGUCUAAUACUGGAUAUGACUCCAUGACGCAUGUUGUGGGGUGGAAAGCCUUGUGCGGCUGAGGAUGGGCCCGCGGCCUAUCAGCCUGCUGGUGGGGUGAUGGCCUACCAAGGCGACGACGGGUAGCCGGCCUGAGAGGGCGACCGGCCACACUGGGACUGAGACACGGCCCAGACUCCUACGGGAGGCAGCAGUGGGGAAUCUUGCGCAAUGGGCGAAAGCCUGACGCAGCGACGCCGCGUGAGGGAUAACGGCCUCGG